UUUAAAUCUUGAGCGAAGUUUGCGAAUUUAUCUUUCAGAAAUUUCGUGUGUAAAGGAAAACGGAAUAGAAGUCCCGAUUCGGAACUGUGUUGCGUUAGAUGAAGAAUCUGUUCCGAAGUCGAGUGAUCCUUGUUUUAUAUUUUGCAACUCUUCUUGCAUCGCGACAGAAUGGACUUCCUGGUCUGCCGAAGACGUCAAAGGUUGUCCUUCAGUUCUGAAGAGGACUAGGGAAAGAUUGGGAAAGUCGUGUGAUUGGAUACGUUUAGAAGAAACAAAACCGUUUCCUUUGGCAGAGGUCUUGGCAACUCCCGAGGGUCAUUGGUCGAAUUGUAUUGUAGAUGAAGACAGCUUGUCAUUUAAAAGAAAGGAAAACGUGAGUGUCGGAGAAUGUGGAGUGGGAAAACGAUACAUCAGAGGGAAUAAGAUCGAAUCUUGCGAACAGAAGGGUCAGCAACAGUUUAGUGUCCGACGUUUGUUUGGUCGAAUGUCCAGAAACGUGUCAAUUGUCCAAAUGGUCCGAAUGGAGUGCUUGCAACAUUACGUGUGGUCAAGGAUAUCGAAGGAGAGAAAGAUACGUUACCAGAUAUGGAAAUA